GACGAACGCUGGCGGCGUGCUUAACACAUGCAAGUCGAACGGAAAGGCCCUGCUUUUGUGGAGUGCUCGAGUGGCGACCGGGUGAGUAACACGUGAGUAACCUGCCCUUGACUUUGGGAUAACUUCAGGAAACUGGGGCUAAUACCGGAUAGGAGCUCCUGCUGCAUGGUGGGGGUUGGAAAGUUUCGGCGGUUGGGGAUGGACUCGCGGCUUAUCAGCUUGUUGCUGGGGUAGUGGCUUACCAAGGCUUUGCCGGGUAGCCGGCCUGAGAGGGUGAGCGGCCACAUUGGGACGGAGAUACGGCCCAGACUCCUACGGGAGGCAGCAGUGGGGAAGAUUGCACAAUGGGCGGAAGCCUGAUGCAGCAACGCCGCGUGCGGGAUGACGGCAUUCGGGUUGUAAACCGCUUUCGCCUGUGACGAAGCGUGAGUGACGGUAAUGGGUAAAGAAGCACCGGCUAACUACGUG
rnacentral:rRNA from 1 species